UGGGGAAUAUUGCACAAUGGCGGGAACUCUGAUGCAGCAACGCCGCGUGCGGGAUGACGGCCUUCGGGUUGUAAACCGCUUUCAGCCAUGACGAAGCUUUUGUGACGGUAGUGGUAGAAGAAGCACCGGCUAACUACGUGCCAGCAGCCGCGGUGAUACGUAGGGUGCGAGCGUUGUCCGGAAUUAUUGGGCGUAAAGAGCUUGUAGGCGGUUUGUCGCGUCGAUAGUGUAAACACGCAGCUUAACUGUGUGCCUGCUGUCGAUACGGGCUGACUAGAGGAGGGUAGGGGGGAAUGGAAUUCCCGGUGGAGCGGUGGAAUGCGCAGAUAUCGGGAGGAACACCAGUGGCGAAGGCGGUUCUCUGGACCUUUCCUGACGCUGAGAAGCGAAAGCGUGGGUAGCAAACAGG
rnacentral:rRNA from 1 species